rnacentral:rRNA from 1 species
UACGAAGGGAGCUAGCGUUGUUCGGAAUCACUGGACGUAAAGCGCACGUAGGCGGAUGUGUCAGUCAGGGGUGAAAUCCCGGAGCUCAACUUCGGAACUGCCUUUGAUACAGCACGUCUUGAGUCCGAUAGAGGUGGGUGGAAUUCCUAGUGUAGAGGUGAAAAUUCGUAGAUAUUAGGAAGAAACACCGGUGGCGAAGGCGGCC